rnacentral:rRNA from 1 species
GACGUAGGGGCGAGCGUUAUCCGGAUUCACUGGGCGUAAAGGGCGCGUAGGCGGCUGCGCAAGUCCGGCGUGAAAUGCCAAGGCUCAACCUUGGAUCGCCGUCGGAUACUGCGCUGGCUUGAGGACGGUAGAGGUCUGUGGAACUAGCGGUGUAGCGGUGAAAUGCGCAGAUAUCGCUAGGAACGCCGGUGGCGAAGGCGGCAGGCUGGGCCGUUCCUGACGCUGAGGCGCGAAAGCUAGGGGAGCGAACCGGAUUAGAACCUCGAGUCUCGNGA